rnacentral:rRNA from 1 species
CUUGCUUCUCUUGAGAGCGGCGGACGGGUGAGUAAUGCCUAGGAAUCUGCCUGGUAGUGGGGGAUAACGUUCGGAAACGGACGCUAAUACCGCAUACGUCCUACGGGAGAAAGCAGGGGACCUUCGGGCCUUGCGCUAUCAGAUGAGCCUAGGUCGGAUUAGCUAGUUGGUGGGGUAAUGGCUCACCAAGGCGACGAUCCGUAACUGGUCUGAGAGGGUGAUCAGUCACACUGGAACUGAGACACGGUCCAGACUCCUACGGGAGGCAGCAGUGGGGAAUAUUGGACAAUGGGCGAAAGCCUGAUCCAGCCAUGCCGCGUGUGUGAAGAAGGUCUUCGGAUUGUAAAGCACUUUAAGUUGGGAGGAAGGGUUGUAGAUUAAUACUCUGCAAUUUUGACGUUACCGACAGAAUAAGCACCGGCUAACUCUGUGCCAGCAGCCGCGGUAAUACAGAGGGUGCAAGCGUUAAUCGGAAUUACUGGGCGUAAAGCGCGCGUAGGUGGUUUGUUAAGUUGGAUGUGAAAUCCCCGGGCUCAACCUGGGAACUGCAUUCAAAACUGACUGACUAGAGUAUGGUAGAGGGUGGUGGAAUUUCCUGUGUAGCGGUGAAAUGCGUAGAUAUAGGAAGGAACACCAGUGGCGAAGGCGACCACCUGGACUAAUACUGACACUGAGGUGCGAAAGCGUGGGGAGCAAACAGGAUUAGAUACCC